AGUGAACGCUGGCGGUAGGCCUAACACAUGCAAGUCGAACGGCAGCACAGUAAGAGCUUGCUCUUACGGGUGGCGAGUGGCGGACGGGCGAGGAAUACAUCGGAAUCUACUUUUUCGUGGGGGAUAACGUAGGGAAACUUACGCUAAUACCGCAUACGACCUACGGGUGAAAGCAGGGGAUCUUCGGACCUUGCGCGAUUGAAUGAGCCGAUGUCGGAUUAGCUAGUUGGCGGGGUAAAGGCCCACCAAGGCGACGAUCCGUAGCUGGUCUGAGAGGAUGAUCAGCCACACGGGAACUGAGACACGGUCCAGACUCCUACGGGAGGCAGCAGUGGGGAAUAUUGGACAAUGGGCGCAAGCCUUAUCCAGCCAUACCGCGUGGGUGAAGAAGGCCUUCGGGUUGUAAAGCCCUUUUGUUGGGAAAGAAAAGCAGCAGGUUAAUACCCCGCUGUUCUGACGGUACCCAAAGAGUAAGCACCGGCUAACUUCGUG
rnacentral:rRNA from 1 species